rnacentral:rRNA from 1 species
CACCGCGGUUAUACGAGGAGCCCAAGUUGACAGCCUCCGGCGUAAAGCGUGGUUAAGAUCAAAAUAUAUUAAAGCCGAACGCAAACUAAGCUGUCAAACGCAUUCGAAAAUAGAAGCCCAAUUACGAAAGUAGCUUUAUAUUUCUGACCCCACGAAAGCCAGGGCA